rnacentral:misc_RNA from 1 species
GAUGAAGAACGCAGUGAAAUGCGAUAAGUAGUGUGAAUUGCAGAAUUCAGUGAAUCAUCGAAUCUUUGAACGCACAUUGCGCCUUCUAGUAUUCUGGGAGGCAUGCCUGUUUGAGAGUCAUUAAACCUCUCUCAAGUAUGAUUACUUGGAUGUGAAGGAAGAGUACCUUAAACUUAAGGAGUGUUCUCCUUUGAAAUUGAUUAGCAGAUGGUAAUGUUAUUAAAUCCCUGAUGUUGUAAGAAAUAACAGUGGUUUUGUAGACUAUUAUCUAGCUUUAAAUUAUAAUUUUUAUUAUGGUUGACCUCAAAUCAGGUAAGGAUACCCGCUGAACUUAAGCAUAUCAAUAAGCGGAGGA